rnacentral:hammerhead_ribozyme from 1 species
AUCCAGCUGACGAGUCCCAAAUCGGACGAAGAAAGUGUCCUGGAU